UCUUCAUUUCUCAUAUUCUCUUGCCGUUCGGAGAGGCGAGAGAGUGUGUGAAAUGAAGAGA
rnacentral:pre_miRNA from 1 species